GGGGAAUAUUGCACAAUGGGCGAAAGCCUGAUGCAGCAACGCCGCGUGAGUGAUGACGGUCUUCGGAUUGUAAAGCUCUGUCUUUUGGGACGAUAAUGACGGUACCAAAGGAGGAAUCCACGGCUAACUACGUGCCAGCAGCCGCGGUAAUACGUAGGUGGCAAGCGUUGUCCGGAUUUACUGGGCGUAAAGAAUGUGUAGGCGGAUACUUAAGUGAGAUGUGAAAGCCCCGGGCUCAACCUGGGGACUGCAUUGCAAACUGGGGAUCUAGAGUGCAGGAGAGGAAAGCGGAAUUCCUAGUGUAGCGGUGAAAUGCGUAGAGAUUAGGAAGAACAUCAGUGGCGAAGGCGGCUUUAUGGACUGUAACUGACGCUGAGGCAUGAAAGCGUGGGGAGCAAAC
rnacentral:rRNA from 1 species